UCCAGGAUGGCCGAGUGGUUAUGGCAUCAGACCUCAGUUCUGGUACACUGAUGUGUUCGUAGGUUCGAAUCCUACUUCUGAAC
rnacentral:tRNA from 1 species